AUUCAACAGUAAUGCAAAUAAAAUAAACGUCAGUGAUUCUGGCCAAUCAGAAAACGAUACGUCUAGAAGAGAGCUGUUAAUUUAAGAGAAACCAAACACUUUUGACAGUCUUUGAAGUAAUAAAGUAAGAUAAACAGCGGAAAAAAUAUAUAAAAGAAGGGUAAACAAAAAAUUGUCAACGUCACCGGCUUUUUGCAGUUAAUGUUCUUUUCUUCCAUUUGUUCUGGAAACUUUGGAUUAGUUAAAAAUAAAAACUAUAGU